CGCGGGGUGGAGCAGUCUGGUAGCUCGUCGGGCUCAUAACCCGAAGGUCGCAAGUUCAAAUCUUGCCCCCGCUACUA
rnacentral:tRNA from 3 species